UUAUGAUGAGAAUUCAGCUGGCACCAGUCUGAGAAGACUUGUACUCUUUACAUGCGGAUCAGCUUUAUAUGGCAUUGAGCCUACAAUCUGAA
rfam:Cladophialophora psammophila CBS 110553 aczJe-supercont1.24, whole genome shotgun sequence.